rnacentral:rRNA from 1 species
UACGUAGGCAGCAAGCGUUGUUCGGAAUUACUGGGCGUAAAGAGUGUGUAGGCGGUGCUCUAAGUCUGUUGUGAAAUCUCCCGGCUUAACUGGGAGGGUGCGGCGGAGACUGGAGUGCUAGAGUGUGGGAGAGGUAAGCGGAAUUCCUGGUGUAGCGGUGAAAUGCGUAGAUAUCAGGAGGAACACCAAUUGCGAAGGCAGCUCGCUGGGACGUUACUGACGCUGAGACGCGAAAGCGUGGGGAGCAAACAGG